GAUGAAGAACGCAGCGAAAUGCGAUAAGUAGUGUGAAUUGCAGAAGUACCGUGAAUCAUCGAAUCUUUGAACGCAAAUUGCACUCUCUGGUAUUCCGGGGAGUAUGCCUGUUUGAGGGUCGCUUAACAAACCAUCGAUUUCGUUGCUUUUUUUUUUAAAGUGAUGUUUAUCGGAUUUGAGCCGUCUUUUUUUUUAUAUUUAAGUGGCUUAAAAUUGAUUUUUUUGGUACGAUCGAAGCGUAUUUUUAUGAUCAAUUUUUGGUUAAAGAAACGCACACGUACCGUUAUUUAUAUGAUGUAAUACGUUUGACUAUUGAAUUUAGUUCAUUCGUAUACGAUAUCUUUCAAUAUUUGACCUCAAAUCAGGUAAGAACACCCGCUGAACUUAAGCAUAUCAAUAAGCGGAGGA
rnacentral:misc_RNA from 1 species